rnacentral:misc_RNA from 1 species
AUUUGGCCCUGAAUGGGCAAUGCAGCGUAUAAUUCCACAGCUUCCGAAGAAGAUAAGAAAUCCACACUAUUUGUACCGCAUGACAAUUCUUCAUGCGAUUUCUCUAUUGGCUCCUGUCAUGGGCGCAGACGUCACAUGCCAGAAGCUAUUACCUGUAAUCAUCAAUGCCUCGAAGGACAGGGUUCCCAACAUCAAAUUCAAUGUUGCAAAAGUAUUGGAGUCACUCGUACCUAUAGUUGAUCAGUCUGUGGUUGAGCAGACAUUCCGGCCUUGCUUGGUUGAGCUCGGCGAGGAUCCAGAUGUGGAUGUUAGGUUUUUUGCCAACCAA